GGUUCAUUCAAAUUUCUGCCCUAUCAACUUUCGACGGCUGGGUCUUGGCCAGCCGUGUGACAACGGGUAACGGAGGGUUAGGGCUCGACCCCGGAGAAGGAGCCUGAGAAACUGCUACUACAUCCAAGGAAGGCAGCAGGCGCGCAAAUUACCCAAUCCCGACCGGGAAGGUAAGGACAAUAAAUACUGAUACAGGGCUCUUUCGGGCCUUGUAAUUGGAAUGAGUACAAUUUAAAUCCCUUAACGAGGAACAAUUGGAGGGCAAGUCUGGUGCCAGCAGCCGGGGUAAUUCCAGCUCCAAUAGCGUAUAUUAAAGUUGUUGAGGUUAAAAAGCUCGUAGUUG
rnacentral:rRNA from 1 species